rnacentral:rRNA from 1 species
ACCGAACCGACUAAUGUUGAAAAAUUAGCGGAUGACCUGUGGCUGGGGGUGAAAGGCCAAUCAAACCGGGAGAUAGCUGGUUCUCCCCGAAAGCUAUUUAGGUAGCGCCUCGUGAAUUCAUCUCCGGGGGUAGAGCACUGUUUCGGCUAGGGGGCCAUCCCGGCUUACCAACCCGAUGCAAACUGCGAAUACCGGAGAAUGUUAUCACGGGAGACACACGGCGGGUGCUAACGUCCGUCGUGAAGAGGGAAACAACCCAGACCGCCAGCUAAGGUCCCAAAGUCAUGGUUAAGUGGGAAACGAUGUGGGAAGGCCCAGACAGCCAGGAUGUUGGCUUAGAAGCAGCCAUCAUUUAAAGAAAGCGUAAUAGCUCACUGGUCGAGUCGGCCUGCGCGGAAGAUGUAACGGGGCUAAACCAUGCACCGAAGCUGCGGCAGCGAACGUAUCACUUAAAGCGAUUCAGCGGGUUACGAUUGACGGAGCGAAGCGACGUCAAAGCGUAUACAAAGUCGAGUCGGUUUAAGGAUACGUUCGUUGGGUAGGGGAGCGUUCUGUAAGCCUGUGAAGGUGGCCUGUGAGGGUUGCUGGAGGUAUCAGAAGUGCGAAUGCUGACAUAAGUAACGAUAAAGCGGGUGAAAAGCCCGCUCGCCGGAAGACCAAGGGUUCCUGUCCAACGUUAAUCGGGGCAGGGUGAGUCGACCCCUAAGGCGAGGCCGAAAGGCGUAGUCGAUGGGAAACGGGUUAAUAUUCCCGUACUUGGUGUUACUGCGAAGGGGGGACGGAGAAGGCUAUGUUGGCCGGGCGACGGUUGUCCCGGUUUAAGCGUGUAGGUGUGUGUUCCAGGUAAAUCCGGUU